UAUGGUAUUCCAGCCGCCGCGGUAAUACGGAAGGUCCGGGCGUUAUCCGGAUUUAUUGGGUUUAAAGGGAGCGUAGGCCGGAGAUUAAGCGUGUUGUGAAAUGUAGACGCUCAACGUCUGCACUGCAGCGCGAACUGGUUUCCUUGAGUACGCACAAAGUGGGCGGAAUUCGUGGUGUAGCGGUGAAAUGCUUAGAUAUCACGAAGAACUCCGAUUGCGAAGGCAGCUCACUGGAGCGCAACUGACGCUGAAGCUCGAAAGUGCGGGUAUCGAACAGG
rnacentral:rRNA from 1 species